GAUAAAUCCAUACCCCACCUGUCCCUAGCACCUACUCGCCCACUCACCUGUAAAAUUGUGGCUGCCUUUUCAGAUUGCUCUUUGCAUCUGAUUUUUGGCUUUGCUUUCCCCGUAUGUCUCAAGUCUAGUUACCAUUUAUGGCUUUCGCACCUGUAAACAUUUAUGGUUGCUUUUGUUGAUUCAUACUAGCAUCUAUGCUAAUUUUUAAUGCACGACCUUAAUGCUACUUUUAGGUGUAUUUAUGAUCAAUCACCAUGUAUUUUACGCUCUUCGGUUCUUUAUGUCAAAAAAUGGGUUUUUACGCUGAUUUAUAUGUGUGCCUAUGCUGCAACACAUACAAUUCUAACUAAAUAUGCAUAAAGCAGCGCGCCAGCACCUCAUAUUUUAUUCUCAUUGUUUCUACUUCGUUAAUUCAUUGACCCAUGUCUCUGUCUUAGUAUAUUCUGGAGACAGAUCCCCACGUCUAGAGUUACAAGAAGACCAAGCUUGGCUGUGGCUGCUGCUGUGUUGCCUCCUCUUGUUGGACCGAAGAGAGGGAGGGGAGAAGCAGCUGGCGUGCAGACUUCUACUCAGGUGGUCUUUUAUUCUCUAUGGGGAUUCUAGGAUACAUCUUCUCCAGAAGCACCAUAAGUCUUGUCUUGGGCAUUACACCAGGGCUAGCCACUCUGCUACUUGGCACUCUCAGUCUGAAGUUCUGGAGGAGCGGCAGAUCCAUCUUCCUGCUUAUCUUGGCUCAGGCAGAGGUGAUGCUGAUGUGCAAGCAUCUUCACCUUGAGUUCUGCCUUGCCAGAAUGAAUCAAGUUUAUUUUCCCAUCCUGCUCCAUUUGAGGGAUUUGUUUGGCUUCCAAAUGGUUUGUUGGUCCUAAAAUAGUCAGAAUCACAUGACAUCUGUGCUAUAGAUAUGGACCUCGGUGGUUUUCUCCACAUUAGGAAAGCUGGAAGAGCCUUUUGAACUCAUUUUUUUUUGCUAACAGUGGUGUUAUGGUGAAACAGAGUUUUGUGUGUAUGUACCAACAGCUAAAAUGUAAACACGACAUUAUCAUAAUUGAGUACAGGAAUAAUUAUCUCUUAUAUCUUAUUGCAAAAUCUGAAACAGUUCUCCUGUAGAUGGUUAGCUUGCAUUUUACGCUACAAUUACCUCAGAUCACUUGUUGUAUCUUACACCAAUUUACGAAAUUUAUUGAUGUGUUUUAUGA